UACGGGGGGAGCGAGCGUUGUCCGGAAUUACUGGGCGUAAAGGGCGUGUAGGCGGUUUGAUAAGUCAGAUGUAAAAGCCCCCGGCUUAACCGGGGAGGGUCAUUUGAAACUGUCAGGCUUGAGUACGAGAGAGGGUAGUGGAAUUCCCAGUGUAGCGGUGAAAUGUGUAGAUAUUGGGAAGAACACCAGUAGCGAAGGCGGCUACCUGGCUCGUUACUGACGCUAAUGCGCGAAAGCGUGGGGAGCAAACAGGAUUAGAUACCCGCGUA
rnacentral:rRNA from 1 species